AUAUAGGGGGAAACGAUAUCAUUUACCUGAUUGUCAUCGAGGUAAUCAUCAAAUAUCUGGAAAAAAAGAAACCUUUAAUCAUGCCCAUUCUUCGUUACGCUCUGUGAUUGAACGAACAUUUAGAGUGUGGAAAAAAAAUGGUCAAUAUUAAGAGAUAUUCCAAGUUAUUCAUUCAACAAUCAAGUUUUAAUAGUUAUUACAACAAUGGUUUUGCAUAAUUACAUUCGAAGACAUGCUUGGUCAAAUGAUGAGAAUUUUCGACAAUUUGAGAAUAUACCCGACAUGCCAAUCUCUUCAGGCCAUUUUGAUAAAGGUGAAUUGAGUUUUUCUAACAGAGAAAGUGACCUUGAAAUCACGAUGUUAAGGGAAACCAUUGCAACUAGUUUAAUGAAUCCAUAUUUGUAAAAACAUUUUGUAUCAUAACUUAAUUUCUAGUAAUAAUGAAACUUGUUAUGUCUUAUGUUACUAUAUUUUUUUUAUUAAAAAUCAUUUGUUUAGAUACUUCAAAUUUUGAUCAAAGUAUAAUGUUACUAUUUGUGAAAAUAAUAUUUAUCAUUGUUAUAAAAAAAUAUUUAACUAUAAAAAAUUAAAAAUAAUUAUCAUUUUAUCUAAUAAAUAAUUUAAAUUGAUUAUAUAAUUCAUUAAAAUAUUAGAAGAUACAUUUUAAUAUUUUAUUAAAUGAAUUUAUAAAUUCACAUAUUUUAAUAAUUUUAAAAAAGUAAAAUAAUUUUAAAAAAUUCUAUUAUAUAUCAAUUCUAAUCUGAUGUCUUUAAUAGUUAUUUUUUAUUCUCACCUCGCCGUUACAGUUGCGUUUGAAUCUAAACACACAUUCCAUCAUUAUUUUUAAUCUCACCGCUACAAUAUCUAAUCUCAUCGCUACAUUAACUAAUCUUACCGUUACUGUUAUUUUUAAUUUCACCGGAGAUAAACACACCGCUCAUCCAAACUAAGGCUAAAGAAAGUAUUAUCUAAAGUAUUUUUUAAAAGUGAUAUGUUAAAUCAGUCAGUCAGAUAGUCACUAUUAAUUAUUAAUAAUAACAAAUCUGUUACUCUAUAAAACUCACAGUUCUUCAGAAGGAGGACACCAAAAUCGAAUAUGAGUGAUCCUUUUGCUUGGUUAAUGGAGGAGUGCAAGAUGUACUCUGAGGAGUCCGGUUUACAACGCUGCUCCUAUUCCAAUCCCUCCGACUCCGUAUCCGGUUCUCCGGAUAUGCCUGAUGCCCCGCUCGGUUCCACCGCCGUCGCAACUUUUCCUCCUCCUAAAUCACCGGAAGGUCCACUGCCGAAUGGUCAACCCAAUCUUCCCACCCCUCCUGAGUUCAACUCUACCCCCACCUGCGACGAUAACUGCAAUGAUGAUCGGAGGAUCGAGAAAUCUGAUGAGAAGGGUUCGAACUCGAGUGCAAUGAAGGGGGUAAAUGAGAGAAAACGGGCAUUGCCUUCUUGGGCUUACCAGAAGGUGGAAGAUGAUGGGGCUGUUGAUGAGAAACUAAAGGGCAGUGAAUCGGAGUUGCCUUCUCCGCUGGCUAAAGGGAAAGUUGCCGAGGAUCUGGAGGUUAAUGAAAGGAAGUUGCCUUCACUAGCUAAUGGGAGUGGAGUAGAUAAUGAGAAGGCUGACCAGGAAAUGGUCGUUAACGGAAGGAAUUCGGUCCAUUCUGGUAUGUGUUCAAAUGGUCUGAGUGAGAAUGUUGUGGAAUUUACUAUUUUGGAUGUGUUGCGCCACCUGGGAAACGAUGAUGAUAAUGAGCUGAGGCUAAGUACCCUUAGUAUUUUGGAGGUUGCAGAGAGAAAAUGGGGUAAAUUUUAAUUGAUAGGUCGCAGGAGGGAUAUUAAGUAAAAACUUGAGUUUGUGUGUGCUAGAUGGUUUUCUUUUUGUUGUUUUAGUUCUGUGCUAGGAAACAAAUGGAAGGGAAAAGGCUUGAAUAUUCAGAAGGUAAUUGUAUGAAGGCCAUUUUUGUUGCAGGUAAAUUGGAAUAUUUAAGCCUAUAUGAAAGAUGUUUCAUAGUUAAAGUUCAUGCUUUAUAUGGAGGGAUUACUUUGCUUGUAUAAAUGCAAAAUUUGAAAUGUUAAAAGCAUGGAAUUAUUUUUGCUUUCUAACUCUGAUUGCUGAAGAUGUUUUAUGAGUCUUUUACUUUAGUGUGUGUGACAAUGACCCGUUUCAUCCAUUGGUGUGCUUGUGCACGCAUGUGUUGAUGCCUUAAUUGGUGGUCGAGCGAUAAAUGGAAACUGACCAUUAAAGCAAUAUCUAGGAUUUGUUGGUUUGAAGUUAAGCCUAAAAAGUUCAGGGCCUUGGAUGAAAAUAGUGAUUUGUGAUAACCAUUUUGUCAAACCAGGGAAGAGGUGAAAGGGUUUUUAUUUUUCUCCUCCAUCAAUUAAGGGAUAUGUAGUAUUUAAAGUACUUGCAUCUGCAUCAAAGUACAGUUUAGUUCCCGGCAUCCGCUUUGGUAGGCCAAGCAAAAGGUUGACUACCCUGGCCUAAAAAACAGCCAUCUGUCUUAUUUUUGUGCCCAACAUUGUC
rnacentral:lncRNA from 1 species